ACCUACGGGACGCAGCAGUGGGGGAUAUUGGACAAUGGGGGAAACCCUGAUCCAGCGAUGCCGCGUGAGGGAAGAAGGUUUUCGGAUUGUAAACCUCUGUGGAGGGGGACGAUAAUGACGGUACCCCUUUAGAAAGCCACGGCUAACUACGUGCCAGCAGCCGCGGUAAUACGUAGGUGGCGAGCGUUGUCCGGAAUUACUGGGUGUAAAGGGAGUGUAGGCGGGAAAGUAAGGCCUAAGUGAAAAGUAUGGGCUUAACCCA
rnacentral:rRNA from 1 species